CUUUAGAUAAGCUACAUUAAGCUGUUGGGCCCAUAACCCAAAAACGGUUUUAUCCUCUAAAGA
rnacentral:tRNA from 1 species